AUACGGAGGGGGUUAGCGUUGUUCGGAAUUACAGGGCGUAAAGCGUACGUAGGCGGAUUGGAAAGUAUGGGGUGAAAUCCCAGGGCUCAACCCUGGAACUGCCUCAUAAACUCCCAGUCUAGAGUUCGAGAGAGGUGAGUGGAAUUCCGAGUGUAGAGGUGAAAUUCGUAGAUAUUCGGAGGAACACCAGUGGCGAAGGCGGCUCACUGGCUCGAUACUGACGCUGAGGUACGAAAGUGUGGGGAGCAAACAGGAUUAGAUACCCUAGUAGUCC
rnacentral:rRNA from 1 species